CAAGAGCGUAUAUUAAAGUUGCUGCGGUUAAAAAGCUCGUAGUUGGAUUUCAGUCUAGGAAGGUUAACUCGCCGAAAGGUUGUACGUUGAUUUUCCUCAGACUUCGUCAGAAGCUCGUGCUGCACCUAACUGUGUGGUACGAUGUUCUGACCUUUUACCUUGAGGAAAGUAGAGUGUUUCAGGCAGGCUACCCAGCUUGAAUACAUUAGCAUGGAAUAAUGAAAUGGAUCUCGGUUCGAUUUCGUUGGUUCUAGAGCUGAGGUGAUGAUCAAUAGGAACAGGCGAAGGUAUUCGUACUUGAGAGUGAGGAGUGAAAUCCGAUGAUCUCUUAAAGACGAUCCGAGGCGAAAGCAUUUGUCAAGGAUGUUUUCAUUGA
rnacentral:rRNA from 1 species